rnacentral:rRNA from 1 species
GACGAACGCUGGCGGCGUGCCUAACACAUGCAAGUCGAACGGGGUAAUUUCUUCGGAGAUUACUUAGUGGCGAACGGGUGAGUAACGCGUGAGAAACCUGCCUUUCAGUGGGGGACAACAGUUGGAAACGACUGCUAAUACCGCAUAAUGUCAUUUGGGGGCAUCCCUGAAUGACCAAAGAUUUAUUGCUGAAAGAUGGUCUCGCGUCUGAUUAGCUAGUUGGUGAGGUAACGGCUCACCAAGGCGACGAUCAGUAGCCGGUCUGAGAGGAUGAACGGCCACAUUGGGACUGGGAUACGGCCCAGACUCCUACGGGAGGCAGCAGUGGGGAAUAUUGGGCAAUGGGGGAAACCCUGACCCAGCAACGCCGCGUGAAGGAAGAAGGCCUUCGGGUUGUAAACUUCUUUUACCAGGGACGAACAAAUGACGGUACCUGGAGAAAAAGCAACGGCUAACUACGUGCCAGCCGCCGCGGUAACAC